rnacentral:lncRNA from 1 species
GAAAAUUGAAGGGAAUUGUCCAGGAAGACUCUGAGAAUUGGACAUGAUCAAACAGAAGAGAGAAAAAACCUGCUGGGGUAAAAUUAAUGACUUGGAACACCAACUUCAUUUAGCAAACCAAAAGAUAAAUGCCUUGGAAUAUAAAAAAAAGGACAAAUUUGCUUCAAUUCAACGAAGACUGUCAUCUGACAAAUGUAUGUGCAAAAAGAAAGGAAGCUGUUCCUGCAAAUAUUUAGACCAGCUGCUUUUUGAGACACAGAGACUGAAGAUGGAAAAUGAAACGCUCUCCAAAGAAAGAAGAAUGUUAAAAAAUGAGCUUGCUGCAUUAGAUAAGGAUUUCUUUGAUGAAAUAGAAGAUUUAAAAUAUGCUCUACAAGAAGCCGUAAAGCUGAAUACCCACUAUGAAAAGUAUUUAAAACAGUUAAGUUCCACUUAUGGAAUCACUCUUACAGUGUUGAGAGCUGGCAAUCCUCGUACAACUUUAUGGAAAUAAUAAUCAAGACUAUUAUUAAAGUAUACUGAGUGUACACAGAAAAAUAAACUCUCAACAGAGUAAUUUCUUAAUUUGUGC